rnacentral:rRNA from 1 species
CCGGAGGUCACUGCUAUCGGUGUUCGACUAAGCCAUGCGAGUCAAAUGUUCUUCGUGAACAUGGCGUACUGCUCAGUAACACGUGGAUAACCUGCCCUUAGGUCUGGCAUAACCCCGGGAAACUGGGGAUAAUUCCGGAUAGAUUAUAGAUGCUGGAAUGCCCUGUAAUCCAAAGCUAUUGUGCCUAAGGAUGGGUCUGCGGUCUAUCAGGUUGUAGUGGGUGUAAUGUACCUACUAGCCUACGACGGAUACGGGUUGUGGGAGCAAGAGCCCGGAGAUGGAUUCUGAGACAUGAAUCCAGGCCCUACGGGGCGCAGCAGGCGCGAAAACUUUACAAUGCGGGAAACCGCGAUAAGGGGACACCGAGUGCCAGCAUCCUAUGUUGGCUGUCCAUAUGUAUAAAUCACAUGUGUUAGCAAGGGCCGGGCAAGACCGGUGCCAGCCGCCGCGGUAACACCGGCGGCCCGAGUGGUGGCCACUAUUAUUGGGUCUAAAGGGUCCGUAGCCGGUUUGGUCAGUCUUCCGGGAAAUCUGACGGCUCAACCGUUAGGCUUUCGGGGGAUACUACCAGGCUUGGGACCGGGAGAGGUAAGAGGUACUACGGGGGUAGGAGUGAAAUCUUGUAAUCCCUGUGGGACCACCAGUGGCGAAGGCG